UAAUACGUAGGGUGCUAGCGUUGUUCGGAAUCAUUGGGCGUAAAGCGCGUGUAGGUGGUCAGUAAAGUUGGGUGUGAAAUCCCUCGGCUCAACCGAGGAAGGGCACUCAAAACUAACUGGCUUGAGAGUGGUAGAGGAAGGUGGAAUUCCUAGUGUAGAGGUGAAAUUCGUAGAUAUUAGGAGGAAUACCGGAGGCGAAGGCGGCCUUCUGGACCAUUUCUGACACUGAGACGCGAAAGCGUGGGUAGCAAACAGGAUUAGAUACCCUGGUAGUCCACGCCGUAAACGAUGGGUACUAGAUGUUGCGGGAAUUGACCCCUGCAGUGUCGCAGCUAACGCAUUAAGUACCCCGCCUGGGAAGUACGGCCGCAAGGUUA
rnacentral:rRNA from 1 species